UUCAUCGGGAUGUUGAAGUUUAUCUUUUUAAUAUAUCAAUCUACUUCUUUUCUAUUAGCGUAUGUGUUAAAUUUUGGGUUUGAACUUGGUAGUAGUUUGCCAUUACAUCUUACUGGAUAGUUACUGAAUGAUUAUAAUCACACCUUAGAUCAUAUUGGGUUUUACUAAAUUUUCAGAUGAAUCUGAUUAGGUUGUUGCUAAUGCAAUGCAGGUAACAACAAGAAGGCUAUACUGUUUUUGGUUUCGUCCAUCUCAAUACUGAGAUUGAACUACAAAUAAUUCAAUGCAAGUAUUGUAAAAAGUUCAGUUAACUGCGUAAACUUUGUGGAAUUUCUUAAGCUCUGUUGAAGUUAAUUUUCCCCCAUCAAUCAGUUACAUAUAUAUGGGUUUCAGUGGAGGAACAUUUAAAAUCAGAGGCUUAAGUGUUUGUGAAAAUGCCUAAAAGAAAUUGGGGCAAAAUUUUCUCCCAAGAGCGCCAUUGAUGAGUGCUUGAACCAGGAGAACCCAGCAACAAUGGUAAGUUACAACAACAAGUCUAUAACAUAUAGACAUCUUACUGCCAAAAGGAACAUCAAGAUUCAAUGGUAACUUUGGCAUUUAAUCCCCUUUUAUAAGGAUAGGUAAUUUAUUUCAGUUUAAUCCAACUUAUAAUUAUGGAUUUGUCUUAAAGAUUUCUUCUAAAUGAAACCCAUCCACAACUGCUCUCAAAUCUCUUUUUCUACAAAGUCAUGCAGAGACAAACGGGAAAGUGUCAAUUGUUGAGGUAGCAAUGGUGAUCAUGUUGAAGGAUAGAAGUGGAAAAGUGUCUAUUAGUUCCGCUUCGAUUUAACACAAAAUUAGUUGCACUGACACGGCACACAUUCUACUUUGCUUUGACAGGGGUAGUUUCCAUUAAUAUAUGAUCUGUCGUUUGUUUUAUCAUUCCGAUUUUUUAAGCUUCAAGAAAAUGAUUUUACAGUCAUAGGGUAGAUGCGAAGAAUUCCUUUCUGUGAAGGUCGGAUUACGAACUAGCUUAUUUUCUUAUUGGACUUCUACUUCGUCCGAUCAAUUGAUUGUUGUUUGGUCGAAAUAUAUGAAACAUAUAAUAUUUUUCUCAACUUCGUUGCUUGACAUUCAUUCUGUGUACUACCUUAUCUGUGACACCCAGCUUAAAGAAUUCAACAAAUAUGAAAAGCAAUCAUCUAUGAGACUUCUUUUCUUAUGUAAUAUAUAAUAACUUUGGCUCAUGUAACAUGAGAUGGAAUGUGGCUCUUACGGAACCUUGGAUAACGACGGCCUUGCACCUCAUGGACAAGGGCCUUGGUUGAAGAUGAUGUUAGUGAAAGACCACAAAGUUGACAAACAAGGGCAAUCUUCUGAACCAAAAAACUGGAAAGCCUUCGCUGAUUUGAUGAAUUGGGGUGGUACUUAUCUUGGAGGCAAAAAAAAUAUUCACUUUGUUAAAAUGACAUGAGAAUGCCAACGGAAUAUAGUACGUGGUUAGGUAAACUAAAAUUUCCUGUAAAUGUCUCUUCGGAAAUGUAUGAGGUAGACUACAUUAACAGGGCCGCAGGAUGAUUGUCAACAAGGGCAAGCUUCCGUUACAAACGAUGUGUCCACGGUGCCAGCAUGAGGCAUCCUCGUGGUGCGUAGCACGGGUUACUUCCUAGUUGUUUUAAUAC